rnacentral:rRNA from 1 species
GACGAACGCUGGCGGCGUGCUUAACACAUGCAAGUCGAACGGAAAGGCCCUGCUUUUGUGGGGUGCUCGAGUGGCGAACGGGUGAGUAACACGUGAGUAACCUGCCCUUGACUUUGGGAUAACUUCAGGAAACUGGGGCUAAUACCGGAUAGGAGCUCCUGCUGCAUGGUGGGGGUUGGAAAGUUUCGGCGGUUGGGGAUGGACUCGCGGCUUAUCAGCUUGUUGGUGGGGUAGUGGCUUACCAAGGCUUUGACGGGUAGCCGGCCUGAGAGGGUGACCGGCCACAUUGGGACUGAGAUACGGCCCAGACUCCUACGGGAGGCAGCAGUGGGGAAUAUUGCACAAUGGGCGGAAGCCUGAUGCAGCAACGCCGCGUGCGGGAGGACGGCCUUCGGGUUGUAAACCGCUUUCGCCUGUGACGAAGCGUGAGUGACGGUAAUGGGUAAAGAAGCACCGGCUACUACGUG